rnacentral:misc_RNA from 1 species
GCCAAAUCCAAGCUAUUUUAGUUGAAAAUUUGUUGGAUCAAAACAAGAUUUCAGAUCAUUUUCGAUUUUCAAAUGCCAUGUUCUUUAUUCAUUCCAAACACCAUAAAUGAUUUCAAAUCCAUUUUGAUUUGAAAUCCUUUAAAAUUUAGUGGUUGCAAACACGGGUAAACCUUUGGUUUGUUGAGUGUCUGCUUGUUGCUCUAGCUAAAGUGGGG